rnacentral:rRNA from 1 species
AUUGAACGCUGGCGGCAUGCCUUACACAUGCAAGUCGAACGGCAGCGGACCUUCGGGUGCCGGCGAGUGGCGAACGGGUGAGUAAUAUAUCGGAACGUACCUUUCAGUGGGGGAUAACGUAGCGAAAGUUACGCUAAUACCGCAUAUUCUGUGAGCAGGAAAGCAGGGGAUCGCAAGACCUUGCGCUGAUUGAGCGGCCGAUAUCAGAUUAGCUAGUUGGUGAGGUAAAGGCUCACCAAGGCGACGAUCCUGUAGCGGGUCUGAGAGGAUGAUCCGCCACACUGGAACUGAGACACGGUCCAGACUCCUACGGGAGGCAGCAGUGGGGAAUUUUGGACAAUGGGGGCGAACCCUGAUCCAGCCAUUCCGCGUGAGUGAAGAA